rnacentral:rRNA from 1 species
UACGUAGGUGGCGAGCGUUGUCCGGAAUUACUGGGUGUAAAGGGCGUGUAGGCGGGAGCAUAAGUCAGAUGUGAAAUUCCAGGGCUCAACCCUGGCACUGCAUCUGAAACUAUGGUUCUUGAGUGCCGGAGAGGAAAGCGGAAUUCCCAGUGUAGCGGUGAAAUGCGUAGAUAUUGGGAGGAACACCAGUGGCGAAGGCGGCUUUCUGGACGGUAACUGACGCUGAGGCGCGAAAGCGUGGGGAGCAAAC